rnacentral:rRNA from 1 species
GAUGAACGCUGGCGGCGUGCCUAAUACAUGCAAGUCGAGCGAACAGACGAGGAGCUUGCUCCUCUGACGUUAGCGGCGGACGGGUGAGUAACACGUGGAUAACCUACCUAUAAGACUGGGAUAACUUCGGGAAACCGGAGCUAAUACCGGAUAAUAUAUUGAACCGCAUGGUUCAAUAGUGAAAGACGGUUUUGCUGUCACUUAUAGAUGGAUCCGCGCCGCAUUAGCUAGUUGGUAAGGUAACGGCUUACCAAGGCAACGAUGCGUAGCCGACCUGAGAGGGUGAUCGGCCACACGGGAACUGAGACACGGUCCAGACUCCUACGGGAGGCAGCAGUAGGGAAUCUUCCGCAAUAGGCGAAAGCUUGGCGGAGCAACGCCGCGUGAGUGAUGAAGGUCUUCGGAGCGUAAAACUCUGUUAUUAGGUAAGAACAAAUGUGUAAGUAACUAUGCACGGCUUGACGGUACCUAGUCAGAAAGCCACGGCUAACUACGUG